GCAGGCGCGAAACCUUUACACUGCACGACAGUGCGAUAGGGGGAUCCCAAGUGCACAGGCAUAGCGCCUGUGCUUUUCGGUACCCUAAGGCGGUACCAGAAUAAGGGCUGGGCAAGACCGGUGCCAGCCGCCGCGGUAAUACCGGCAGCCCAAGUGAUGGCCGAUCUUAUUGGGCCUAAAGCGUCCGUAGCUGGCCGUACAAGUCCAUCGGGAAAUCCACCUGCUCAACAGGUGGGCGCCCGGUAGAAACUGUGCGGCUUGGGACCGGAAGGCGCGACGGGUACGUCCGGGGUAGGAGUGAAAUCCCGUAAUCCUGGACGGACCGCCGAUGGCGAAAGCACGUCGCGAGAACGGAUCCGACAGUGAGGGACGAAAGCCAGGGUCUCGAACCGGAUUAGAUACCCGGGUAGUCCUGGCCGUAAACAAUGUCUGCUAGGUGUGGCUCCCACUACGAGUGGGUGCUGUGCCGUAGGGAAGCCGCUAAGCAGACCGCCUGGGAAGUACKUCCGCAAGGAUGAAACUUAAAGGAAUUGGCGGGGGAGCACUACAACCGGAGGCGCCUGCGGUUUAAUUGGAUUCAACGCCGG
rnacentral:rRNA from 1 species